GACGAACGCUGGCGGCGUGCUUAACACAUGCAAGUCGAACGGAAAGGCCCAGCUUGCUGGGUGCUCGAGUGGCGAACGGGUGAGUAACACGUGGGUGAUCUGCCCCUAACUUCGGGAUAAGCUUGGGAAACUGGGUCUAAUACCGGAUAGGACAAUCGUUUAGUGUCGGGGGUGGAAAGUUUUUUCGGUUAGGGAUGAGCCCGCGGCCUAUCAGCUUGUUGGUGAGGUAAGGGCCUACCAAGGCGGCGACGGGAAGCCGGCCUGGGAGGGUGGACGGCCACAUUGGGACUGAGAUACGCCCCAGAAUCCUACGGGAGGCAGCAGUGGGGAAUAUUGCACAAUGGGCGCAAGCCUGAUGCAGCGACGCCGCGUGGGGGAUGACGGCCUUCGGGUUGUAAACCUCUUUCGACAGGGACGAAGCUUUGGUGACGGUACCUGUAUAAGAAGCACCGGCUAACUACGUG
rnacentral:rRNA from 1 species